ensembl:lncRNA
AAAUCGAGGAGGAGCGUCAGAAGGUUAAUGCUUCCAUCUUGGCUCUGGAGGAGGAGCUGGAGGGAUACAAAGAGCAGAGCGACCAAUGGAAGGAGCAGCUUGGCUCAGCCAACCAGGAGUAAGCUCUGACACAUGAAACAUCAACUUCUAAAACAUUUAUAUAGUGAUUCCAAAUUUUUGGUGAAUCUCGGUUAUGUGAUGUGAACUUGAUGUUUAAUUUUAUGCAAAUAAGUGUUGAAGCCCACCAGUAACGUUAGGACAUCCAGCACUAUGAUUAACAACCAUCAGUUAAAAUUACAGUAUUGUAGUAACAUAACCAUAGCUAUGCAGCCUGAAUCACAUAAAACAUUGUUUAAUAAUUUCAUAAAUUGUUUAGUAAGAUCUUAAGGUGUCACUCCAAGGUUCAAGUCCAUAUUUGUCUAAGGAGUUAAGAGACUCAUCAUCUGUAAUCAUAUACAAACAAUCUUGUGACAACACCCUUUUUCUACAUUCAGACUUCAGUACAUUUAAUAAAUGCUUGGCUUCUGGUCCUGUAGGAUAAAAGAUCCACAUUUCAUUUGCCUGAUGUGUUACUUCACAUGUAGAUACUGUUAUUAUCCUGUAUCCAGUUCACACUCACUCCUGUUUAAAAUUUUAGGGUCUUUAAAAUCGCUUAUGCUCAGCAAAGCUGCAUUUAUUUGAUCAAAAAUACACUAAAAACAGAGAUGUUUUAAAGCACAUUUAGUUUUUUUACAGCAGGAUUUGAUCUGAACUAUAACUCAUAAUCUUGUCCUACAGGUUUCAUUAUCUGUUUUAUAUGUUGUCUUAGUUUGUUUGCGUUUUUUAUGUGCUUUAUGAGCUUCAUGCUACAUGUCCAUGUCAGCUGUGCUUGUUAAAUGUUUAUUGUUGUCUUUCUGUUUCUAUGUUCUUGUUUGCCAGACGGGGGCAGUGCAGCGCAUUUCAAAAGCUGCUGCGGGCUCAGCAGGAGAAGAAAGAACUGGAAGAGAAGCUGUACACAGUUAAGAAACAACCAGAUGAAACUGAUUCAAAUGCUUUAAUGAAGGUAAGAUACAAAUACAAUGCAACAAUCUGU